AUGAAAGAGUAAGUGACUUGUUGUUAAUAAAUACAUUCAACCUAUCAAGGACUCAUGCAAUUGAAAUCAAAUAUUGUGGAUCUCAGUGAUAUUAAUCAAAUGCUACUUGCAUGUAUCCAUUUGUCUGGUUAAUAUCUCCAAGAAAGAUAGUAUUCCUUUAGCAUUUCUUUGAUGCAAGAAUUGUUAGAAUAGUAAUAUAUAUAAAGACA
rnacentral:lncRNA from 1 species